rnacentral:rRNA from 1 species
UACUCCCGCCGGCGACCGGCGCACGGGUGAGUAACACGUAUGAAACCUGCCCGUAGCAGGGGGAUAAGCGGAAGAAAUUCCGUCUAAUACCGCGUAACAACCCGAGGAGGCAUCUCCUCGGGUUUAAAGGAAGCGAUUCCGGCUACGGAUGGUCAUGCUUCGCAUUAGCUAGUUGGCGGGGUAACGGCCCACCAAGGCGACGAUGCGUAGGGGUUCUGAGAGGAAGGUCCCCCACACUGGUACUGAGACACGGACCAGACUCCUACGGAAGGCAGCAG